rnacentral:lncRNA from 1 species
AAGAUCCUUUGGCCAUGUUAGGGUGUCCCCACGCCACCUUAACCCUAAUAUCAUCCUCAAGCAUCCCACAAGCUUGGAGGAUCAUUCAAGUCAUCUCACUCACUCUCCAAAACCAAUUUGGAUGUUGAGUCCCCUUUGAAGAAGCAUCAAGAUUGUAAGACCCCAAUUUUGGCCCUAAGUUCCCUCAUGCUAUCUCAUCAUAUGCAUUGGCACUAGGAUCACACCUUGGCAUCCUC